rnacentral:lncRNA from 1 species
GCCGUUGCUUUCGUCCUUUGCCUCGCCGUAUCGACGGUCCUCGCCGGCGGUUUCGGCGGAGGACUCGGACGGGGCAUUGGUCUGGGCCAUGGUGGUGGCCUUGGCGGCUACGGCGGUGGCCUUGGAGGCUACGGCGGUGGCCUUGGCGGCUACGGCGGUGGCCUUGGAGGCUACGGUGGUGGCCUUGGUGGCCUUGGCGGUGGUCUUGGUGGCGGCCAUGGUGGCGCCUACAGUGGCUCUUACGCUGGCUCCUACGCUGGAAGUUACGGAGGAGGUCACGGCGGUCACUUGGGUGGACAUGGCCUUCUAGGCUAAGAUGUAACUUCGCUGCAGAAGACAACUCAAGGAAAAGACAGUCAAAGUGUACAAAACAUGUAUUUAGAUUGGAAUAAAUGACUUCCACCGACUAACUCUU